UCUUGCAAACUAAAGAUGGCGACCGGCGCACGGGUGAGUAACACGUAUCCAACCUGCCGAUAACUCGGGGAUAGCCUUUCGAAAGAAAGAUUAAUAUCCGAUAGUAUAUUAAAACCGCAUGGUUUUACUAUUAAAGAAUUUCGGUUAUCGAUGGGGAUGCGUUCCAUUAGUUUGUUGGCGGGGUAACGGCCCACCAAGACUACGAUGGAUAGGGGUUCUGAGAGGAAGGUCCCCCACAUUGGAACUGAGACACGGCCCAA
rnacentral:rRNA from 1 species